AUCGGUACGGGUUGUGGGAGCAAGAGCCCGGAGAUGGAUUCUGAGACACGAAUCCAGGCCCUGCGGGGCGCAGCAGGCGCGAAAACUUUACAAUGCGAGAAAUCGUGAUAAGGGAACCCCGAGUGCCCGUAAAUUCGGGCUGUCCGCCAGUGCAAAAAACUGGUGAAGAAAGAGCCGGGCAAGACCGGUGCCAGCCGCCGCGGUAAUACCGGCGGCUCGAGUGGUGGCCACUAUUACUGGGCUUAAAGCGUCCGUAGCUUGGUUGUUGAGUCUCCUGGGAAAUCCAUCGGCUCAACCGAUGGGCGUUCAGGAGAUACUGGCAACCUAGGGACCGGGAGAGGUGAGAGGUACUCCAGGGGUAGGAGUGAAAUCCUGUAAUCCUUGGGGGACCACCUGUGGCGAAGGCGUCUCACCAGAACGGCUCCGACAGUGAGGGACGAAAGCUGGGGGAGCAAACCGGAUUAGAUACCCGGGUAGUCCCAGCUGUAAACUAUGCGCGUUAGGUG
rnacentral:rRNA from 1 species